CGCUCUCUCUCUCUUCUUCUACUCAGAAUCUCUUUUAUUAUUUUGAAAUAGUUUGACUUAAGUAUUAGAAAGUCUCCAAAAAACUUCAAUAAAUGGAUUUCUUCUGCUUGUGAUGUUUCAGAGCCAAUCAUGAUAUUAGAUAAAGAUCUGACCAUCGUCAACCGCAUCGAGAUCUCUGGCUAGCUAUUCAGAUCUCUUGAUCAUCCUUUUUUAUCUCUCUAGCUCAUCGGUCUAAAUCAAAUCAAUCCUCAACAGCAAUAGAUGG
rnacentral:lncRNA from 1 species